GGGGGCGCCCCCUGGCGGCGCAGGGACCGCCCCCAGCCUCGCGCCGCCGCCGCCCGCCUCAGCCCAACAUGGCGAUGCACAACAAGGCGGCGCCGCCGCAGAUCCCAGACACCCGGCGGGAGCUGGCGGAGCUCGUGAAGCGGAAGCAGGAGUUGGCGGAAACACUAGCAAACUUGGAGCGACAGAUCUAUGCUUUUGAGGGAAGCUACCUGGAAGACACACAGAUGUAUGGCAAUAUUAUUCGUGGCUGGGAUCGGUAUCUGACCAAUCAAAAAAACUCCAAUAGCAAAAAUGAUCGAAGGAACCGGAAGUUUAAGGAAGCUGAGCGGCUCUUCAGUAAAUCCUCAGUUACCUCAGCAGCUGCAGUAAGUGCAUUGGCAGGAGUUCAGGACCCGCUCAUUGAAAAGAGGGAGCCAGGAAGUGGGACAGAAAGUGACACGUCUCCAGACUUCCACAAUCAGGAAAACGAGCCUAGCCAGGAGGACCCUGAGGAUCUGGAUGGAUCUGUGCAGGGAGUGAAACCUCAGAAGGCUGCUUCCUCUACUUCCUCAGGGAGUCACCACAGCAGCCAUAAAAAGCGAAAGAAUAAAAACCGGCACAGGUAUAUAUAUUAGGUUAGGCUGGGAAGUUUUUUUUAAAAACAGAAAAACGUGAUGGAGGAUUGAUCUGAAGUUAAACAAAAAACCACGAGCUGACUAUUAGAAGACACAUUAGCGCAGAAGCUUCCAGGCUGUAGAACCCUGCUUCCCUUCUCUGACCUCACAAAGAUAAACAUCCUUCACCUGAGUUCGUGGCCAUCCAUCUCUGCUCUCCUAGACCCAGUGCCUGUGACUUUGAGUAGUUUGUUUUAAAUGUGGUGACAAACAAGUCAUUUCUGUAAGACAUUGGAUCAUUUACUUGAUGUCAUUUUUAGUAACAGAACUGCAGGAAGAUCAAGACAUGGUUAUAGUUCCAACAAGUUGCUAACUGUGCAUUGCUCCCUUCUUAGAAUGAAUGUCUCCCCCCCCAGAAUGGCUGGCACCAUCUAUCUGCGAUACCAUCAAGAAAUGUUCUCUGGUUUUAUUUUAUGCUGAAAGUAGAACACAAAUCACAUUUCAGAUGGAGGCUGUAAAUAUCUGGCAUUUUCUUAUAUUGUUUUAUGUUUUCUUAUUUUUCUCUUGUUUUUGUCAUCUUAUUUUCUUUGGGGUCUUUGUGUAAUGCGUUUGUACAGCUCAUACCUUCCUGCUGACAUAUCUGAUCAUCUCUUUCAUGCAGUUGCCAGUAUUCAUAACUGAAAAUAAUCUGGUUUAUCAUAAGUAAAAUGGGAAACUUGGCGCUCUGUUUUUGCAAGGGGAGGUCAAGAGUGUUUAUUUAGUAAUUACCUAUCUUAAAUCUGAGUUGGAAGCAGAUUCAUGUUCAAGGCACAGGAAAAAUGGAAAAACAUAAGUUUAAAUCCAUUAUUUUUAAAUAGCUGUUUUUAUUCUUUUGUAUAAAUAAAAUUUCACAGGCUUCAAAUUCUCAUGCUUUACUUUUAAACCUGAGAUUGUUUUUUUCACUUAUUUUGUUUAUUCAUAUCAUGCCUUAUGGAAAUUUCCUUUUCUGUAUUUUCUCUCUUUGCUGGUAUUCACCUGAUUAUUGCUAAAAAUCACCGUGGUUGGCAUAUGGAAAGUCUCCAAAUUAUACCAAAAGUGAUACUUACGAAGUUCUUAAGUGGAGUGAAAGGAGAGCAUCAGUGAGAGCCAUUGUUGCCAGCAGCGCUCCCUUUUGUGGAGGGCUUGAUGGGGCGAGGAACUUAAUUGUUAUGCCUUUAGUGCUUUGGUGAUCUACCUUGACUGCAUAUUGAUCACCUGAACAACUUUAAAAUACUCAUGCUUGGAUUCCACCCCCAGAGACUGGGGCAUAGCCUAGUUAUUGGGAUUUUCUUUAGAAAAGUUCUUGGGAUUCUGAUAAGAGCCAAAUUGAGAACCACUACAUGAGAACACAGAAUGGUUUAAUUUAAAUCCUAUGUUAUGAAUUGGUCUAAGGGAUAAGAUUUGGGGCCUACCCUUUCCUUUGAUUCUAGUCAGUCAUAGUCCUUGACUUUUGUCUAUAUCUUUGUAAAAAACAGUAUGUUUCAUUUGUGAUAAUAUUGGUAGAGCUGAAUAUGGAUGGCAUCUCCUGUAAAACAAGUCCACCUUGUCAGAUGUGCAAAAGCUUUCACUCUUGUUCUCAAAUAAACUUUUGUGGGUU